AGAGUUUGAUCAUGGCUCAGAUUGAACGCUGGCGGCAGGCCUAACACAUGCAAGUCGAGCGGAAACGAGUUGUCUGAACCUUCGGGGAACGAUAACGGCGUCGAGCGGCGGACGGGUGAGUAAUGCCUGGGAAAUUGCCCUGAUGUGGGGGAUAACCAUUGGAAACGAUGGCUAAUACCGCAUAAUAGCUUCGGCUCAAAGAGGGGGACCUUCGGGCCUCUCGCGUCAGGAUAUGCCCAGGUGGGAUUAGCUAGUUGGUGAGGUAAUGGCUCACCAAGGCGACGAUCCCUAGCUGGUCUGAGAGGAUGAUCAGCCACACUGGAACUGAGACACGGUCCAGACUCCUACGGGAGGCAGCAGUGGGGAAUAUUGCACAAUGGGCGCAAGCCUGAUGCAGCCAUGCCGCGUGUAUGAAGAAGGCCUUCGGGUUGUAAAGUACUUUCAGCAGUGAGGAAGGUGGAUGUGUUAAUAGCGCAUUCAUUUGACGUUAGCUGCAGAAGAAGCACCGGCUAACUCCGUGCCAGCAGCCGCGGUAAUACGGAGGGUGCGAGCGUUAAUCGGAAUUACUGGGCGUAAAGCGCAUGCAGGUGGUUUGUUAAGUCAGAUGUGAAAGCCCGGGGCUCAACCUCGGAAUUGCAUUUGAAACUGGCAGACUAGAGUACUGUAGAGGGGGGGUAGAAUUUCAGGUGUAGCGGUGAAAUGCGUA
rnacentral:rRNA from 1 species